rnacentral:rRNA from 1 species
CAGAGGGUGCAAGCGUUAAUCGGAAUUACUGGGCGUAAAGCGUGCGUAGUCGGUUAUCUAAGUCGGGUGUGAAAUCCCCGGGCUCAACCUGGGAAUUGCAUUCGAUACUGGAUAGCUAGAGUUCGGCAGAGGGAAGCGGAAUUUCGGGUGUAGCGGUGAAAUGCGUAGAUAUCCGAAGGAACAUCGAGUGGCGAAAGCGGCUUCCUGGACCAGAACUGACGAUCAGGCACGAAAGCGUGGGGAGCAAACAGGAUUAGAUACCCUGGUAGUCCACGCCAUAAACGAUGACAACUAGACGUUGGGAGGGUAAGCCUCACAGUGUCGCAGCUAACGCGUUAAGUUGUCCGCCUGGGGAGUACGGCCGCAAGGUUG